ACUAAUCCUAGCCCUAGCCUUCACAAAUAUAAUUACAUCAUUUCAUAAAUCAAAACAUUUAACCCACUAAAAGUAUUGGAGAAAGAAAUUCGUACAUCUAGGAGCUAUAGAACUAGUACCGUAAGGGAAAGAUGAAAGAUCAAUUAAAAGUAAAAAUAAGCAAAGAUUAAACCUUGUACCUUUUGCAUAAUGAAUUAACUAGAAAACUUCUAACUAAAAGAAUUACAGCUAGAAACCCCGAAACCAAACGAGCUACCUAAAAACAAUUUAAUGAAUCAACUCGUCUAUGUGGCAAAAUAGUGAGAAGAUUUUUAGGUAGAGGUGAAAAGCCUAACGAGCUUGGUGAUAGCUGGUUACCCAAAAAAUGAAUUUAAGUUCAACUUUAAACUUGCUAAAAAAACAAUAAAAUCAAAAAGUAAGUUUAAAUUAUAGCCAAAAGAGGGACAGCUCUUUUGGAACGGAAAAAACCUUUAAUAGUGAAUAAUUAAUAAAUCAACCUUUAACCAUUGUAGGCCUAAAAGCAGCCACCAACAAAGAAAGCGUUCAAGCUCAACAUAAAAUUUUAACUAAUCUCACAAUUUACAUCAACUUCCUAAACUUAAAAUUGGGUUAAUCUAUAAUUUUAUAGAUGCAACACUGUUAGUAUGAGUAACAAGAAUUCUAAUUCUCCAGGCAUACGCAUAUAACAACUCGGAUAACCAUUGUUAGUUAAUCAAACUAUAGGCAAUACUUAUAAUAUAAACAAUUUACCUAUAACUACUCUGUUAACCCAACACCGGAAUGCCUUAAGGAAAGAUCUAAAAAGAUAAAAGGAACUCGGCAAACAAGAACCCCGCCUGUUUACCAAAAACAUCACCUCUAGCAUAACAAGUAUUAGAGGCACUGCCUGCCCAGUGACUAAAGUUUAACGGCCGCGGUAUCCUGACCGUGCAAAGGUAGCAUAAUCACUUGUUCCUUAAUUAGGGACUAGCAUGAAUGGCUAAACGAGGGUUCAACUGUCUCUUAUCUUUAAUCAGUGAAAUUGACCUUUCAGUGAAGAGGCUGAAAUACAAUAAUAAGACGAGAAGACCCUAUGGAGCUUAAAUUACACGACUUAUCUAUUCAUUUUAUAAACCUAAUGGCCCAAAAACUAUAGUGUAAGUCUGAAAUUUCGGUUGGGGUGACCUCGGAGAAUAAAAAAUCCUCCGAAUGAUUAUAACCUAGACCUACAAGUCAAAGUAAAAUCAACAUAUCUUAUUGACCCAAUACAUUUUGAUCAACGGACCAAGUUACCCUAGGGAUAACAGCGCAAUCCUAUUUAAGAGUUCAUAUCGACAAUCAGGGUUUACGACCUCGAUGUUGGAUCAGGACAUCCCAAUGGUGUAGAAGCUAUUAAUGGUUCGUUUGUUCAACGAUUAAAGUCCUACGUGAUCUGAGUUCAGACCGGAGCAAUCCAGGUCGGUUUCUAUCUAUUUACAAUUUCUCCCAGUACGAAAGGACAAGAGAAAUAGAGCCACCUUACAAAUAAGCGCUCUCAACUUAAUUUACGAAUAAAAUCUUAAUAAAAUAUGUAUGUACAUCCUCUAACCUAGAGAAGGUU
rnacentral:rRNA from 1 species